rnacentral:rRNA from 1 species
UACAGAGGUCUCAAGCGUUGUUCGGAUUCAUUGGGCGUAAAGGGUGCGUAGGCGGCGUGGUAAGUCGGAUGUGAAAUCUCGGAGCUUAACUCCGAAACUGCAUUCGAUACUGCCGUGCUUGAGGACUGGAGAGGAGACUGGAAUUUACGGUGUAGCGGUGAAAUGCGUAGAUAUCAGGAGGAACACCGGUGGCGAAGGCGGAUCUCUGGGCCUUACCUGACGCUCAGGCGCGAAAGCUAGGGGAGCGAACUGG